UAAGAAGGAGGCUAAAUCUCGAUG
rnacentral:misc_RNA from 1 species